CGUAAAGCAAGCCUAAUCCGGAAUCUAGCGCACGACUCAUAAUCGUGAGGUCGCGGGUUCAAGCCCCGCUCCUGCUACGG
rnacentral:tRNA from 1 species